CUUAAUUUUUCCCCCACCAGAGCAAGUGCCAGAGCCUGUGUCAGAAGAAGGUUGUUCCGAAGGUUGAAGUAAGGUUCAGUCCGCCGUCGAGAGUGCCUGUGGUGUGGAGCCGUCUUCACCAGCUGAAGCUGAAGAUUAGAUGGUUUAGUUUGUUUUCCUUUUUUCCGCUGCAUUUUGAUAGAUAAUUGUUUUUAUUUGUUUUUAAGUCGUGGAACUGUGUAUUAAUUUGUCAUAGUGUGUACUCGGGCUGAUGCCUGGACCGAGAUUUAAUACAUGCUAUUGUUCAGAAAUUUGGUGUAAAUUUCUAGGCGUGACAGCGGAUCAG
rnacentral:lncRNA from 1 species